rnacentral:rRNA from 1 species
AGUGAACGCUGGCGGUAGGCCUAAUACAUGCAAGUCGAACGGCAGCACAGUAAGAGCUUGCUCUUACGGGUGGCGAGUGGCGGACGGGUGAGGCAUACAUCGGAAUCUACUUUUUCGUGGGUGACAACGUAGGGCAACUUACGCUAAUACCGCAUACGUCCUACGGGUGAAAUCAGGGGAUCUUCGGACCCUGCGCGAUUCAAUGAGCCGAUGUCGGAUUAGCUAGUUGGCGGGGUAAAGGCCCACCAAGGCAACGAUCCGUAGCUGGUCUGAGAGGAUGAUCAGCCACACUGGAACUGAGACACGGUCCAGACUCCUACGGGAGGCAGCAGUGGGGAAUAUUGGACAAUGGGCGCAAGCCUGAUCCAGCCAUGCCGCGUGGGUGAAGAAGGCCUUCGGGUUGUAAAGCCCUUUUGUUGGGAAAGAAAAGCAGCAGGUUAAUACCCCGCUAUUCUGACGGUACCCAAAGAGUAAGCACCGGCUAACUUCGUG